rnacentral:rRNA from 1 species
GCCAUAUCACCCUGAAUGUGCCCGAUCUUGUCUGAUUCCAGAAGCUAAGCAGAGUCAGACCUGGUUAGUUCUUGGAUGGGAGAAGAUCAUUCUCAAUGGGGAAAAACUGAGAGC